rnacentral:piRNA from 1 species
UACUAUUGUACAAUCCCCUUGUCAUAGCAC